rnacentral:rRNA from 1 species
GUAGCGUAAUCAUUUGUUUUUUAAUUAAAAACUGGUAUGAAAGGUUUAACAAGUAAAAUAAGUUUAAAGUAAUAAAAUAAAAUUUAUAAUUUAUGUAAAAAUACAUAAGUGAAUAAAAGGGACGAUAAGACCCUAAAAGCUUUAUUAUUAAAUAUUUUUUAUUAUUGUUAGUAUUUGGAGGAUAUAAAAUAAUUUAACUGGGGUAGUUGUUUUUUUUACAAAUAUUUUUAUUAACAUUUAGGGUUGGAGAUCCUUUAUAUUAGGAUAAUUAGUAAAAGUUACUUUAGGGAUAACAGCAUAAUAAUAAUGGGGAGCUCUUAUUUAUAUUAUUGAUUUUGACCUCGAUGUUGAAUUAAAUUUCUUUAUAAAGUAGAAAUUAUAUUUGAAAGUUUGUUCAACUUUUAAAAUUUU